AGAAUCAAAUUAGCUUUAACAAAAUGAUUGAAUCUCAGUUAAAUCAAAUAGCUGCUGUUGUUCCUGCUACUAACCCCGGUAUACCAUCACAACCGGAAGGAUUAGAAUCUGCAAAUCUUGUAGACAUGUUUGAUGCAGGUAAUAAUUGGAGUAACCCCGUCACUGAAUUCAAUACUGACCUUCUGCCGGUCAAGAGAGGUGAUCCAGGACGCCCCGUCAUCCCGAUCUCCAUCGGCAUGGUGGACGUUCCCGAAGCACUCUGCGACUUUGGCUCCAGUAUCAACAUUAUACCCAGGGUACUCUAUGAAAAAUUCUUUACAUAUCCUUUAUUAGAAACAACCAUGUGUUUGCAGUUUGCAGAUCAGACGAUAACUUUUCCAAAAGGAAUCGUGAAGAACCUUUGCGUCCGAGUUGGUACCUUGUAUGCCCCAGCAGACUUCGUAGUGGUAGAGACCGGAAAUGAUGAGAGAGCACCUAUCAUCUUAGGGAGGCCAUUCUUGAACACCACGAGAGCUAUCAUCUACGCUAGUACUGCCAAGAUCAGUUUCUACAUCAAAGGGAGGAAGGAGACAUUUUUCUUCAAGAACAAGACUACACAAAUUCCAGAUCAAUCCAGACAUGAGUCAAGGAAGAGGACCAACAGGAGGAACAGGAACAAGCAAGUAUGGACCGAGUCAGCUAAGAUGGUCACUGCAGUUCAUGGAGGCCAAGAUCACCAACUUAUGUCACCGCUUUUGACCAAGAAGGACGACCCAGGAAUGCCAAGCAUCUACUGCUCCAUAAAUGGAUACAACUUCUACAAGGCAACUUGUGACACCGGAUCGGGCGUCAACAUAAUGGCCGCAGUCACCUAUCGGCUCUUGUUCGGAACCAUGCCCCUACGACCAACAUACAUUCAGCUCCAGAUGGCAGAUCAGACAUUUCGAGAAGUUAAAGGAAUAGUAACUGAUGUCCCAGUCAAAAUAGACGAUCAUUUUGUCUACACAGACUUUCAAGUUAUUGACAUGGGAGAAGACGAGUACGAUCCACCCAUCAUCCUUGGAAGACCGUUCCUCAGCACCGUUAAAGCAAUCAUCUACAUUGGAACCGGAGAAGUCCAUAUGCACUUCCCCUCAGAGAAGGUACGCCGUUAUUUUCCUGACCCUAACUAUAUCGUUGAAGAAUCUAAGCAGGUAAGGAAAAGACGCAACCGCAACCAGAGGAGGCAGAUCAUCAAGGACGGAUGGGCAGACUAUGAAGGAGAAGUUGUAAGGUCAGAAGACGUAGGGUUUAAACAGAAUUAUCCAGAGGAGACGGAAGCACCAAGUCAGGUAUGGAAAAUGAAGAUAACUAUACAUGAAGAGGAGGCACUGCCGGAAGUACCGACUCCGCCAACCAACGAACCUCAGGACAAUUGAAAAAAUGGAGAGUCCCGUUCGGAGGACUUAAAAACACCGAACGCCUUGCCAAGAGGUAAAAUUGGUAGUUAUCCUUUCCCUUUCAAUUAUUUCAAAUAGUUUACUUAGUUAAUUAUAUUCGUAUUAUCUUAAAAAGAAAAUAAAAAUAUGAAAAACAGUAAGCCCCAUGUGAGUAUGCGAGUGGCAUAAAACCCAUAAGUACAUUCACUGUGGUGGCAUAAAAAUAAAAUAAAUAUUUUUCUGCUUUAUAAAAUGAAAAUAUAAAAAUAGGGAGUAAUAAUUAUUAAGGAGUCUCAACAUGAUAAAGGCUAGAUAUUUAUGCUAACACUUAAUCAGUUCCACAAGCUUUGUUGUCUAUUUGAGCUCCACAGAAUUUAAGAAUCAAGAAGACUAGCAGACGGAGGACAUUCUAAUCGCUGUCAGAAUGCUGCUGACUUUCAAAUACACCUCUGCCGCCUUCUAGCUACAUCAAGAAAAAUUACGUCAAAAUUCAGCUUGGGGGAGAGCACCCCCAUUUAUCUCGAUAAGUAUUUCUAUCUAUCUUUAUACUUAUAUUAUAUUAGAAUAUUAAAAUACAUAAACUAUGAAAAAUCAAAUAAGGAUUUUAUGGUUAUAUAUAUAUAUCUUUUGCUUAGUGCGAUUAAUAAAUAAAUAAAUAAAGUGGCUAUGCUAAUCUGUAUCUAAAUAAAACUUAAGCAUGGAUAUGAUGAAUAGUUGCUCUGCCUAAUUUGUAUAUUUUAAGUUCUCUCUCAAGUUUAGACAUAACUGUUAUAAUUUAAAGCUUGCUCUAGACCUAAACUUGUGGGAUGAAAACUUGAUCUGAAGUCUAAGUUGUUAACUGAUAUGAUAUGGGAAGGUUGAGCUGCUGUUUAUCUGUACCUAGAGAUGCUAGAAUUCUGGAGAAUUUUAUCUUUGAAAAUCUUUAAAAUGUUGCAUGAUGAGUUCCUGUAUGAUGAGAGUUUAAAUUCCUACCACAGCCAUAUAUACAUGCUUGCUAGACUUUGAGCCACACAUUUAAUAUUUACUGCUUAUGAGCAUUGAGUGUGGUCAAGCUGUGUAGACCCUUAGGAGCUUGUCAUGUGGUUAAAUCAAGAUUUCACUUGCACGUUCACUCAUAUAUGCUACUUCUACUCCGGAAGUACCAUCCACAUAUAUCCACCCAUUUCCAUCUCCAGGACCACCCAAAAAUAUUCUACUCCUAAUCCGGGAGAGAAUAGCCAAAAAUAUUUUUGUUUUUCCCUUGUGAAAUAAAUGCUCAAGUUAUCUCGUUACUACCACUUGCUAUAUUAUCUCAAGAGAUGAGUGCUCUAAAAAAAAGAAGAAAAAAAAAUAAUAAAUACGAGAAAAUAAAAAGGAGCAAGUGCUCGGAACCUUGAAAGAAAAGAAAAAGUGAGACGAGAGAUAAAAAUGGACAAGUGUCCGACAGUAGAAUUAGGGGUACAAGAUACCCACCUGAGAGAAAAGAAAAAAAAUAUAGAGCAUCUCUUUCUCCUCAUAAAGUUUCAAAAAGCAAGGAAGGUAUGUAUCCCCUCAAAAGAGCAAAAGUAGAAUUAGACUUCCACCAUUGUUAUCACCAUCAUCACCAUACACCAUUCAUUCGCCACACAUGCACAUCUUGAUUUGGCUUAUUGAUUUGUUUCUUUGGAUCCAUAGUUUGACUAUGCAAUACAUGUCUUGUGAGUAUGUAUACUUUAUCUCCCACCUAUGAGCUCCAGAUAUUAAAGCCUUAUUAGAGUAGGGUAAGAGAGAAGGCAAUGUCACUAUGCUUAAUACCAUAAAUACUACAUAUCUUGAGAGAAGGCAUAUACCAUCACUGCCUUGGUAAGGAUCCAUAAAUACCACAAAAGAGAGAUCUGAGAGAAUCAUACAAGGAAUCUCUGAGUUUUAUUUGAAAAUUUGCAAAAACCCCAGAGCUAUAGCUGAUCAAGAAUAAGAGACAUGGCACUUGGCUAGACUGUUCUAUCUUUUAACCACUCAAGACAGAAGUGACGGUUACAGGUCCCAUGGUGAAAGGUAAAGUAAGUAAGUUUUAAGUCUUGACAGUUUACUCUAACUCAGAGAUGAGAUCUUAUUUAAAAAGCAUGUGUACCGUCAAUUCUUUUUAAAAUAUUGCAACAACUUAUGAUCCAUAGCUGAGUCUAUCCUUGCUCAGGGACGAGCAAGAGGUAAGCUUGGGGGAGUUUGUUGAUGGUCCUUAAGUAUCAAAUUUAAUUAUUAAAUAAAUAAACAAAAGGAUCCAAAUGAAAUCAACAUCUAGACUUAGGGUUUCAUCUGAGAGAAUUCCACGAGUUUUGGUGUUUGUCUAUUUCUGCAGGGGGUUAUGAGGAAAUACGGAAGAAAGGCCCACAUGUCAGGAUUACAUAGAGAUAUUAAUGUGCUGCGCAAUUAUCUUACAUCUAGAAGACUCCAGAAGCCACGAGACCGAAGCGGAGGCGAAACGGGGCCUGACCCUGGGUGCCCGCCCAGGUGAUCAGGGCGCCCGCCCACCUCCUGAGUCCAAUCAGGACUCUGCUUCGCGGGAGAUCUCCACCGACCUAAAGGAUGAAUCUAAACCAUACAAUCUAUGUCGGUUUGAUCCAACGGCCCAUAUUCACUUGAAGGGACUAUAAAACCAGACCCCCUGGCCCCUGGAGGAGAGAGCCUCUCAACCCUAAUUCAUUGUUCUUCAAGGGAGAUGAAGCCUCUGAUCAAGAUUAGAGCCACCACAUCAAUUAGAUAUCUAGAUUAGCAUAGCUACAUAGGAUUAGAGCUAGAAGGAGUCAAUCUUCGAUUGGUUUCCGGAUCUGUCAGGAGGAUUCUUGGUAAUUCUCUAAUUGUGCUUCUAAUUACUUUCUAAUUAUCUUUGUUCUUCAAUAUUAUGAAUAUGACUUUGUUCUACUUCAAUAUAUUGCUUAUGACUUUGCUCUACUUGCUUAUAUUCAAGAUUAUAUUGUUCUUAGUUUAUCAUAGUUAUGUACUUGGCUUAGUUAGAUUGGAUCUAUAUACAUGUUUAGGAUCGUAUAGCGUUUAUCCAUCGGAUCCAUGGGUAAAUGAUAGAUAUUGUGUAGGCGUGGUGCUUAUACCGUAUUUAUCUGCGAUUGUACCCAAUAUGCCAGAUCGUGGGGUGGUUCGUGAUAGUGACAGCUUCAUUGAUUCUUAUAUAGUCCCCCUCUCGUGUAUUGGGCUGGCAGAGCAACAUUAUUACAGGAGAGUGAUUGCUAUGUUUCUCAUAUUCCUUGCUAAUAUCACUAUGCAUGGGCGUAGUCUUGUCUCGCAAUGAUUGCUAAGUAUGCUUGCACUAAUUAUGAUAAUGCUAGACUAUAUAGUUGAGAAUAACUUAGGGAAUAUUCUUGUAGUUCGUUCUAAUACCAUGCUAAUGACUUUCUAGAGUAUCUAAUUGAGAUGCUUAUCAUAUUUAUUAUGUGGCUAGAUCAGAUUAGUUAUCCUUGUCACUAUUAUUAUUUCAUAUAUCUUUUAUGUGACACUUAUCCCUGUAUGAAGAGUUAGAUAUAAUGUUCUCAAUUAUACAUGCAAUGAUAGAUGCUCAAUCUCAUAUUCUAUUCUGUAAUCAAUAUUGAUGAUUGCUAAUCCCUUCCCAGUGGUAAAAAUAUAAAUAACGAUACCUGGAAUACUUCCCGCUUAAAAUGCUGCACCGGUAUUAAUCUGUGCGCUUGCAGAUCCCAUUCAUUAUUUAGAGAACUUAGUCUACUUUUGGUAAUGAUGAUAAGAAUACCCAACAAGCAUUUUUGGCGCCGUUGUCGGGGAAGCUUGAUUACUAAUCAGGAAUGGAAUAAAAGAUUUUGAGUUAUCAUUCGCAUCACUAGUACGAUUGAGCUUAUCUAUUCUCUUAUACAGUUUUACCCCGAUAUUUUUCUAUUUUAUCUUAUGCAGUGGAAUGUAUGAAUAGAAGACAUCUUCCAGGAAAUUUUGUUGACAAUCCUGAAGCAUUAUUCAAGAAGACGAGAGCCAAGCUCAAGAAGAGAUCAUCAAUACUUCAGCAAGAAGCUUCAUCCAAUCAAGAAGAUCACCGGAACUUGUGUUCAGAGUUCGAGGCCAUGGCGACUAAAUCAAUCCGCGAGUUCUUAGCUCUCACUACGGACAACAUCCGCACUGGACCUGCUGCAGAGAUCGAUGGCAACUUUGAGCUCAAGCCUGGACUUAUCAACAUGGUGCAAUCCAACCAGUUCUGUGGGAAGGCACAUGAAGAUGCUAGUGCUCAUUUACAACACUUCCUAGAGAUUUGCAACACAUUCACCAUAUCAGGAGUUUUCAAAGAUGCUAUACUACUUCGCCUCUUCCCAUUCUCACUGUUAGGAAGAGCGAAGCAGUGGUUCUACGCUACAAAGGAGAAGAACACUACGUGGGCACUCUGCUCAACAAACUUUCUGGCAAAGUUCUUUCCCAUGGGCAAGACCAAUGCUCUCCGUGGGAAGAUUACAAGUUUUCAGCAACAAAAUGAUGAAUCUGUUCCAGAAGCAUGGGAGCGCUUUCAAGACUACAUCCUAGAAUGUCCCCAUCAUGGAAUGGAGAGUUGGCUAUUGAUGCAGACGUUUUAUUAUGGGCUCGGCAAUAGUGCCCGAGAAACCAUGGAUGCUGCAGCUGGAGGACCAUUCUUAUCACUUACUAUACCACAAGCCAUAGCUCUUGUGGAGAAGAUGGCGUCCAAUCAAAGCUGGAAUGAAGAGAGGACCCAGACACGCAAGAGAGGUGGAGGUAUGCAUCAGCUGAAGGAGGUAGACAUGCUGUCUGCAAAGCUAGACCUGCUCAUGAAGAAGCUCGACGAUAGGGCUGGAGACAAGAAGGAAGUUAUGCACAUCUACGACUCUCACAUGACUUGUGAGGAGUGUGGAGACACUAGACACUCAGGCAACCACUGCCCUGAGAUACUUGAGGAUGUGAACUACAUCAAUAACAACAACAACUACUACAACCGUCCUCAACAAAAUCAUAGUUGGAAUCAACAGAGGCCUAACUACUCAGGUAAUUAUCAAGGUAACAAUUCUUACAACAAUAAUAAUAAUUUUCCACCUUUGAGAGAGUUAGUGUCUAAUCAAGGAAAGCUAAUGGAUAACCUAUCUAAGAAAUUGGCAUCUAAUGAUAAAAUGCUAGAAAAUAUAAAUAAUAGAAUGGAUAAUUUCUCUACUGCCAUCAAGAAUCAAAUUAGCUUUAACAAAAUGAUUGAAUCUCAGUUAAAUCAAAUAGCUGCUGUUGUUCAUGCUACUAACCCCGGUAUACCAUCACAACCGGAAGGAUUAGAAUCUGCAAAUCUUGUAGACAUGUUUGAUGCAGGUAAUAAUUGGAGUAACCCCGUCACUGAAUUCAAUACUGACCUUCUGCCGGUCAAGAGAGGUGAUCCAGGACGCCCCGUCAUCCCGAUCUCCAUCGGCAUGGUGGACGUUCCCGAAGCACUCUGCGACUUUGGCUCCAGUAUCAACAUUAUACCCAGGGUACUCUAUGAAAUAUUCUUUACAUAUCCUUUAUUAGAAACAACCAUGUGUUUGCAGUUUGCAGAUCAGACGAUAACUUUUCCAAAAGGAAUCGUGAAGAACCUUUGCGUCCGAGUUGGUACCUUGUAUGCCCCAGCAUACUUCGUAGUGGUAGAGACCGGAAAUGAUGAGAGAGCACCUAUCAUCUUAGGGAGGCCAUUCUUGAACACCACGAGAGCUAUCAUCUACGCUAGUACUGUCAAGAUCAGUUUCUACAUCAAAGGGAGGAAGGAGACAAUUUUCUUCAAGAACAAGACUACACAAAUUCCAGAUCAAUCCAGACGUGAGUCAAGGAAGAGGACCAACAGGAGGAACAGGAACAAGCAAGUAUGGACCGAGUCAGCUAAGAUGGUCACUGCAGUUCAUGGAGGCCAAGAUCACCAACUUAUGUCACCGCUUUUGACCAAGAAGGACGACCCAGGAAUGCCAAGCAUCUACUGCUCCAUAAAUGGAUACAACUUCUACAAGGCAACUUGUGACACCGGAUCGGGCGUCAACAUAAUGGCCGCAGUCACCUAUCGGCUCUUGUUCGGAACCAAGCCCCUACGACCAACAUACAUUCAGCUCCAGAUGGCAGAUCAGACAUUUCGAGAAGUUAAAGGAAUAGUAACUGAUGUCCUAGUCAAAAUAGACGAUCAUUUUGUCUACACAGACUUUCAAGUUAUUGACAUGGGAGAAGACGAGUACGAUCCACCCAUCAUCCUUGGAAGACCGUUCCUCAGCACCGUUAAAGCAAUCAUCUACAUUGGAACCGGAGAAGUCCAUAUGCACUUCCCCUCAGAGAAGGUACGCCGUUAUUUUCCUGACCCUAACUAUAUCGUUGAAGAAUCUAAGCAGGUAAGGAAAAGACGCAACCGCAACCAGAGGAGGCAGAUCAUCAAGGACGGAUGGGCAGACUAUGAAGGAGAAGUUGUAAGGUCAGAAGACGUAGGGUUUAAACAGAAUUAUCCAGAGGAGACGGAAGCACCAAGUCAGGUAUGGAAAAUGAAGAUAAUUAUACAUGAAGAGGAGGCACUGCCGGAAGUACCGACUCCGCCAACCAACGAACCUCAGGACAAUUGAAAAAAUGGAGAGUCCCGUUCGGAGGACUUAAAAACACCGAACGCCUUGCCAAGAGGUAAAAUUGGUAGUUAUCCUUUCCCUUUCAAUUAUUUCAAAUAGUUUACUUAGUUAAUUAUAUUCGUAUUAUCUUAAAAAGAAAAUAAAAAUAUGAAAAACAGUAAGCCCCAUGUGAGUAUGCGAGUGGCAUAAAACCCAUAAGUACAUUCACUGUGGUGGCAUAAAAAUAAAAUAAAUAUUUUUCUGCUUUAUAAAAUGAAAAUAUAAAAACAGGGAGUAAUAAUUAUUAAGGAGUCUCAACAUGAUAAAGGCUAGAUAUUUAUGCUAACACUUAAUCAGUUCCACAAGCUUUGUUGUCUAUUUGAGCUCCACAGAAUUUAAGAAUCAAGAAGACUAGCAGACGGAGGACAUUCUAAUCGCUGUCAGAAUGCUGCUGACUUUCAAAUACACCUCUGCCGCCUUCUAGCUACAUCAAGAAAAAUUACGUCAAAAUUCAGCUUGGGGGAGAGCACCCCCAUUUAUCUCGAUAAGUAUUUCUAUCUAUCUUUAUACUUAUAUUAUAUUAGAAUAUUAAAAUACAUAAACUAUGAAAAAUGAAAUAAGGAUUUUAUGGUUAUAUAUAUAUCUUUUGCUUAGUGCGAUUAAUAAAUAAAUAAAUAAAGUGGCUAUGCUAAUCUGUAUCUAAAUAAAACUUAAGCAUGGAUAUGAUGAAUAGUUGCUCUGCCUAAUUUGUAUAUUUUAAGUUCUCUCUCAAGUUUAGACAUAACUGUUAUAAUUUAAAGCUUGCUCUAGACCUAAACUUGUGGGAUGAAAACUUGAUCUGAAGUCUAAGUUGUUAACUGAUACGAUAUGGGAAGGUUGAGCUGCUGUUUAUCUGUACCUAGAGAUGCUAGAAUUCUGGAGAAUUUUAUCUUUGAAAAUCUUUAAAAUGUUGCAUGAUGAGUUCCUGUAUGAUGAGAGUUUAAAUUCCUACCACAGCCAUAUAUACAUGCUUGCUAGACUUUGAGCCACACAUUUAAUAUUUACUGCUUAUGAGCAUUGAGUGUGGUCAAGCUGUGUAGACCCUUAGGAGCUUGUCAUGUGGUUAAAUCAAGAUUUCACUUGCACGUUCACUCAUAUAUGCUACUUCUACUCCGGAAGUACCAUCCACAUAUAUCCACCCAUUUCCAUCUCCAGGACCACCCAAAAAUAUUCUACUCCUAAUCCGGGAGAGAAUAGCCAAAAAUAUUUUUGUUUUUCCCUUGUGAAAUAAAUGCUCAAGUUAUCUCGUUACUACCACUUGCUAUAUUAUCUCAAGAGAUGAGUGCUCUAAAAAAAAGAAGAAAAAAAAAUAAUAAAUACGAGAAAAUAAAAAGGAGCAAGUGCUCGGAACCUUGAAAGAAAAGAAAAAGUGAGACGAGAGAUAAAAAUGGACAAGUGUCCGACAGUAGAAUUAGGGGUACAAGAUACCCACCUGAGAGAAAAGAAAAAAAAUAUAGAGCAUCUCUUUCUCCUCAUAAAGUUUCAAAAAGCAAGGAAGGUAUGUAUCCCCUCAAAAGAGCAAAAGUAGAAUUAGACUUCCACCAUUGUUAUCACCAUCAUCACCAUACACCAUUCAUUCGCCACACAUGCACAUCUUGAUUUGGCUUAUUGAUUUGUUUCUUUGGAUCCAUAGUUUGACUAUGCAAUACAUGUCUUGUGAGUAUGUAUACUUUAUCUCCCACCUAUGAGCUCCAGAUAUUAAAGCCUUAUUAGAGUAGGGUAAGAGAGAAGGCAAUGUCACUAUGCUUAAUACCAUAAAUACUACAUAUCUUGAGAGAAGGCAUAUACCAUCACUGCCUUGGUAAGGAUCCAUAAAUACCACAAAAGAGAGAUCUGAGAGAAUCAUACAAGGAAUCUCUGAGUUUUAUUUGAAAAUUUGCAAAAACCCCAGAGCUAUAGCUGAUCAAGAAUAAGAGACAUGGCACUUGGCUAGACUGUUCUAUCUUUUAACCACUCAAGACAGAAGUGACGGUUACAGGUCCCAUGGUGAAAGGUAAAGUAAGUAAGUUUUAAGUCUUGACAGUUUACUCUAACUCAGAGAUGAGAUCUUAUUUAAAAAGCAUGUGUACCGUCAAUUCUUUUUAAAAUAUUGCAACAACUUAUGAUCCAUAGCUGAGUCUAUCCUUGCUCAGGGACGAGCAAGAGGUAAGCUUGGGGGAGUUUGUUGAUGGUCCUUAAGUAUCAAAUUUAAUUAUUAAAUAAAUAAACAAAAGGAUCCAAAUGAAAUCAACAUCUAGACUUAGGGUUUCAUCUGAGAGAAUUCCACGAGUUUUGGUGUUUGUCUAUUUCUGCAGGGGGUUAUGAGGAAAUACGGAAGAAAGGCCCACAUGUCAGGAUUACAUAGAGAUAUUAAUGUGCUGCGCAAUUAUCUUACAUCUAGAAGACUCCAGAAGCCACGAGACCGAAGCGGAGGCGAAACGGGGCCUGACCCUGGGCGCCCGCCCAGGUGAUCAGGGCGCCCGCCCACCUCCUGAGUCCAAUCAGGACUCUGCUUCGCGGGAGAUCUCCACCGACCUAAAGGAUGAAUCUAAACCAUACAAUCUAUGUCGGUUUGAUCCAACAGCCCAUAUUCACUUGAAGGGACUAUAAAACCAGACCCCCUGGCCCCUGGAGGAGAGAGCCUCUCAACCCUAAUUCAUUGUUCUUCAAGGGAGAUGAAGCCUCUGAUCAAGAUUAGAGCCACCACAUCAAUUAGAUAUCUAGAUUAGCAUAGCUACAUAGGAUUAGAGCUAGAAGGAGUCAAUCUUCGAUUGGUUUCCGGAUCUGUCAGG
rnacentral:lncRNA from 1 species